ensembl:lncRNA
CCUGCCCUUGGCUGUCACUGUGACUGGCUCAUUUGUGCAUUUACUUUUGUCCACCAGGCUUCAGAACACCAGCGCCCAUCCUGCCUGGCCUUCACUGGCCAGCCCUGCACUCCACCCUGGGUUCAGCUGCAGCCUCGGACAGUCCUGGCACCCCGGGGCGCGGGGACAGAUGAACAUGGAAUCUUCUGUCCUCUACACCCAAGCAGCAAGGCGCAAACAGGGGGCCUGUCUUCCUUUCGUGGUGCAGGGCCGAUAGGGUCCUGGCCCCCACAGGAAUCUGCUCCAGGGUUCAGAGAGACUCCUGGGGCGUGGCCCCGAGGCCUGCUGCCUGCCUGCCUCAGGACCUCUCACCUGUCCUGGCUGUGCCUAGCCCCAGCCCCAGAGGCCAUGGCCCUCCAGCCCCAGAGGCCGCGGCCCUGCCACCUCCCUCUCAGGUGACGAACUUCCUGGCGGAGGAGAACGCUCCCCAAGUGUCCACAGGCUCUCGACACAAGCUGGCUACACUUCUUAGAGAUCCAGAUGGGAAGGCCCGACGCUGUCCCCCACCCCACCCAACAGCAGCCACACUGAACCCACAACCUCCUCCAGGGGACGGCCCUCCAGGGCCUCCUGGUGUCCCAGGCCCUUGUGUGCCCACGUCUGGGUCUCCAGGUCCAGGAUCCACCUGGCUCCUGACACCUGGCCAUGAACAUGCUGGCCUGGGGGUUGUCCACCUGUGCCUAAGCGAUGGGCAUGCUCAGUGGCAGGUCCUCACCUGCCCUCAACCCGUCCACCUCCACCACAUGGGGGCGGUCCUCCUGCCCGUCCCCAGCCUGCCCCGCCUCUCCUGUCAGCACAGGCACAUUUCCUUCGGGGACCCCAGUUUUGCCAUCGGUCCCCUCUUCAGCCCCCAGUGGGGCCAGAGCCCCGGUGACACCAGCUGCUCGCAGAGCAGGUCCAGGCCUUUCUGAGGCUGGAGCAGGACCUUCUCUGAGGACAUCGGCUUUGGUCUGUUUGGCAUGUGAGCUGUCAGUUUCGCCAUGACCCUGCCCUGAGAGAGCCACACAUCCACCCUGGAGCACCUACCUCCAUUCCCCGAUUCCUCCACACAGUGACCUCAGAAYGUGGGCUUUGGGGUCAUUAUCCCCUCUUCCCAGACGAGGAAGGAAGCCUAGAGGCUGUCCUGCAGGGCCCCGUGGGGCCAGCCCCACAGCGUGGCCAGCCCCACAGCAUGGCCAGCCCCACGGGGCCCUUCUGCAGAGCCCCCGAGUCCCCCAAGAAGUCCCCCCAAGAAGUCCUCCCAGAAGUCCUCCCAGGUGCGCAGCCUCAAGACUCUAGGCGCUCCUCACCUCCUGCCCGUGCCCACGGCUGUUGCUGGGCAAGUUCUCCUCUCAGUUCUGCAGCUGCUGCCCAGUCCCUCUGCGGCAGCGUGAGAACCCCGAGGGCAGGUGUUCAGAGGCCGGGGUGCAGGACCCACUAGCUUCCCUCAGCUCUGGAGGCCGCGGCCCCUUCUCCAGACCAAGUGACAUCCACAUCUCCACCAAGCCAUGGUGACCCGGUGUUGAGAGCCACAGCCAAAGGGGCCCCAGMAAACUUCCAGCUGCCAGCAAACUYCCAGCUGCCGGCUGAUGAUUGGCUCACAGUGGCCCCAGCAACAUCUAGCUGAUUGGCUCCUCUGUGGUGAUGUUCAUUGGGCUGUUUCCCUGCCCUUCAGACUGCCAGCUGAUGAUUGGCUCACAGCGGCCCCAGCAACAUCUAGCUGAUUGGCUCCUCUGCGGUGAUGUUCAUUGGGCUGUUUCCCUGCCCUUCAGACUGCCAGCUGAUGAUUGGCUCACAGCGGCCCCAGCAACAUCUAGCUGAUUGGCUCCUCUGCGGUCAUGUUCAUUGGGCUGUUUCCCUGCCCUUCAGACUACGGAACUGCUCAUUGGGGGACUUCUUUGGCUCCGCCCACGCGACCUAGCCAAUCGGCCU